AUACGGAGGAUGCGAGCGUUAUCCGGAUUUAUUGGGUUUAAAGGGAGCGUAGGUGGGAUAUUAAGUCAGCUGUGAAAGUUUGGGGCUCAACCUUAAAAUUGCAGUUGAUACUGGUUUCCUUGAGUACGGUACAGGUGGGCGGAAUUCGUGGUGUAGCGGUGAAAUGCUUAGAUAUCACGAAGAACUCCGAUCGCGAAGGCAGCUCACCGGGCCGGAACUGACACUGAUGCACGAAAGUGCGGGGAUCGAACAGGAUUAGAUACCCUGGUAGUCCGCACAGUAAACGAUGAAUACUUGUUUUCGGCGAUAUAAUGUCGGAGGCAAAGCGAAAGCGAUAAGUAUUCCACCUGGGGAGUACGCCGGCAACGGUGAAACUCAAAGGAAUUGACGGGG
rnacentral:rRNA from 1 species